rnacentral:lncRNA from 1 species
GUUUAGAAAAGUUUGUACUCUGUAGAUAUUUUCUAUGUAUUUCUGGGCUGUGUAGUUGUAAACUUUUUUAUCUUGGUUUAGGCUAUCUCGGUAUGUGGUAACUUGUGGGGGUAUGAACAAGUGGUCUUUUUGUGUUUUUGGUGUAAAUGGUUUUUCAAAUAUUUUAUUGAUAUUCAUGUUCUGGUAUCUUGGUCGACUAACUCU